UAGGAGGAAAAAUUUUGUCCUGCAUUUUUUUUAGCUGUAAUCUCUGUCCUGCCUUUUUAUUUUUCACUCUGUUCGGUCCUGCCUUUUUUUUUUUUUAGUUUAUCCUGACUUUUUUUACCUAAAUUGUCGUCCUGACUUUUUUUUUGCAAGUGUCACAUCCUGCCUUUUUUUUUAACUCAAUACUCCUGUCCUGCCUAUUUUUUUCAAAUUUCAUCCUAGCCCCCCCCCCCC
rnacentral:lncRNA from 1 species